CUUAAAUCCUUUUGUAAAUCUGAACAUUAGCCACUGAAGCAUAAGGAACACAGGUGCUUUAAAAAAUGAUAUAAAUUCAUAGAUUAUGUUUUAUGUUGUAGUUUAUCCUUGAACAUUUCUUAAUUCAGUUAUUGACCAGAAUUACUUUUAAAAUACCAUUUUCUUAUGCUUUGCAGUGAUGAUGAUGCCUUUUUGACACUGCAGCUAACAGGCAUAAAUGAGAAAGCUAUUCCAACUGAAAUAUGCAGCAAAACCCGUGUGCCUGUUUACCACUUCUCUCAGAUGCAAGGUGUUGUUAUAAUUUAUUAUAUAUCAAUUAUAGUGACAAUGAGAGCAUUGGAGAAAGCAAAUCUAGGAUGUGCAUUGGAAUGUAUUCUGCAUUUGUGUGCAUACUUCAUUAAUACUUAUCAAUUUUGUGUCUGAAGUGUUUGGCUUUUUAAUGUAAAAAACAAUUCUAGUUAACUGCCUGCUUUUGUUUUUGUGGCUAGCUAGAAAAAGCCACAAAAAUACACCAGUAUGUGUUGAAUACAAUUAAUUCCACAUGAGCUUUUUGGCAUGACUUAUUGCUAUCUUUUAACGUCAACCUGUUCUGCAGUGCAGUUCAACUAAGAAGAGGCAUACAUGGCUGAGGCAUAGUAAGGGUAACAUUCUCAAAAAUAGAGAGCAGAUAUAGAAAUAUAGCCUUUGGGGUUUUUGUUUGUUUGUUUUUGUUUCUUAAGGAUGCCACAGGCACAAAGGGCCCAAGUGAAGCUUGGCAAAGAGAUCUCCCCCACUACCUCCAGGACUACUGUGUACAUAUGCAGCUCUUAGUGAACUGACUUACUCUCGCUAAAAAGUACAAAUUAAUAGCUCAGGUACAGUGCUGCCCAUGGACAUAGGGCUUUCAGGUUUUGGUCUAGUGUCACCAAUCUUAGCACAGGAUCUCUGCACCAUACUAGAUCCAAAAGCAAACAUUUUUUAUCACAGUAUCCCUAAGAAAUUCCUGAUACCCAUCUUGCAAGUGGGAAAUGUGUGGUUGAGUGUCUUGUUGUAGUUUACAUAAAUGUGAAUGCCGGGAGCCUUCUAACUUUGAAAUAUAAGACAAUCAUUUCCCUAGUUCAAUGAGUGAAAUACACCUCAGGAAUUAACAAUGUUCACAUCAGUGAAAUAAGUUUCAAGUAGUAUUAUUUCUGUUUAAAUAAACUAUGAAGAUUGCAACUGCUCA
rnacentral:lncRNA from 1 species